UACGGGAGGCAGCAGUGGGGAAUAUUGCACAAUGGGCGAAAGCCUGAUGCAGCUAUGCCGCGUGUAUGAAGAAGGCCUUAGGGUUGUAAAGUACUUUCAUCGGGGAGGAAAAACAAAACUAAUAAUUUUAUUUCUUGACGUUACCCGAAAAAGAAGCACCGGCUAACUCCGUGCCAGCAGCCGCGGUAAUACGGAGGGUGCUAGCGUUAAUCAGAAUUACUGGGCGUAAAGAGCACGUAGGUGGUUUUUUUAAGUCAGAUGUGAAAUCCCUGGGCUUAACCUAGGAACUGCAUUUUGAAACUGAAAUACUAGAGUAUCGUAGAGGGAGGUAGAAUUCUAGGUGUAGCGGUGAAAUGCGUAGAUAUCUGGAGGAAUACCGUGUGGACGAAGCGGCCUACCUAAACGGAAUACUGACACUGAGGUGACGAAGCGUGGGGAGCAAACGAGGAUUAGACUACC
rnacentral:rRNA from 1 species